rnacentral:rRNA from 1 species
UACGUAGGGGGCAAGCGUUAUCCGGAUUCACUGGGUGUAAAGGGAGCGUAGACGGCGACGCAAGUCUGGAGUGAAAGCCCGGGGCCCAACCCCGGGACUGCUCUGGAAACUGCGGCGCUGGAGUACGGGAGGGGCAGGCGGAAUUCCUGGUGUAGCGGUGAAAUGCGUAGAUAUCAGGAGGAACACCGGUGGCGAAGGCGGCCUGCUGGACUGUGACUGACGUUGAGGCCCGAAGGCGUGGGGAGCAAACAGG